rnacentral:rRNA from 1 species
GGAUGCGAUCAUACCAGCACUAAAGCACCGGAUCCCAUCAGAACUCCGAAGUGAAGCGUGCUUGGGCAAGAGUAGUACUAGGAUGGGUGACCUCUUGGGAAGUCCUCGUGUUGCAUUCC